rnacentral:rRNA from 1 species
UACGUAGGGGGCAAGCGUUAUCCGGAUUUAUUGGGCGUAAAGAGCUCGUAGGCGGCCGUUCGCGUCGGAUGUGAAAGCUCAGGGCUCAACUCUGAGAUGCCAUUCGAUACGGGACGGCUAGAGGUAGGUAGGGGAGGGUGGAAUUCCUGGUGUAGCGGUGAAAUGCGCAGAUAUCAGGAGGAACACCGAUUGCGAAGGCAGCUCGCUGGGACGUAACUGACGCUGAGACGCGAAAGCGUGGGGAGCGAACAGG